rnacentral:lncRNA from 1 species
AUUAUUGCAACAAUAUGUUAUUAAUAAUUUGACUGACGUUUCCUCUGGAAAAAACAGAAAGUAAAUGUCAAUAAUAUUUACCCAUGUGAAUACUCUUAGAACAGCUGCUCAUUUAAUUACUACUUCGGAUGUAGAAGUCUUCUCUCUCCCUUAGCAAAUACAAUUUAUUCAACCAGGAAUGGAGCUCCUCUUUCACCUGAAACAACAUAAAAGGUCUCAGACAUGGGAAAAACUCUCAAGCAUUUUUCAGCUUUUUCAGGAUGCAGCAUCAGAUUCAUAGAAUGAUAGAAUGGUUUGGAUUGGAAGGGACCUUUAAGAUCAUCUAGUUCCAACGCCCCUGUUAUGGGCAGGGACACCUCCCUCUAGACCAGGUUGCUCAAAGCCCCAUCCAGCCUGGCCUUGAAUGCUUCCAGGGAGGGUGCGUCCACAACCUCACUGGGCAACCUGUUCCAGUGUCUCACCACCCUCACAGGUAAGAAUUUCUUCCUAAUAUCUAGUCUAAAUCUACCCUCUUCCAGUUUAAAGUGAUUUCCCCUCAUCCUGUCACUACCUGCCUUUAGCAAAAGGUAAGUCAGAUCUAGGCCUUGAAUCAAAGAUUUCCUCACCUCUUCAUUAGUACAGCACCCAAGGGAAUUCAGACCUGAUCCCUUCCUGGCAAUAUCCACUGCUGAAGACAAUACAAAUCAUGGUUGAGAAUUCAGUAAUUCAUAAUGACACAGCUGCAUUAAGACAUCUAUAGUGUAGAUAUGUCCAUCUGAGUUGGUCUACUUUGACUCCCAUUGUAGCCAGUAUGGAUAAAUAAGUAAUUCAGGGCAUAAAUUUGUCUUGAUACCAGACUGGAAAGAGUCAAUUUUCUUCAUACAGACUCCUGUGAUUGUCUGGGAUUUUUGAUGAAAAGCUGUGCUGAUAACACACCAGUGUUUUAGUUGUUGCUGAGCAGUGCUGCACAGAGCCAAGGAUGUUUCAGCUCCUCACACUGCCCUGCAAGAGAGGGCAUGUGGGUGCACAAGGAGCUGAGAGGGGACAGAACCAGGAUGGCUGACCCAGACUGACCAAAGGGAUGUUCCAUUCUAUAUGGCAUCAUGCUUGGCAAUAAAAGCUGGGGAAAAGAAGGAGGAAGGUAGGAU